rnacentral:rRNA from 1 species
CCCGGCACAAGCGUGGAGCAUGUGGUUUAAUUCGAUGAUACGCGAGGACCUUACCUGGGCUCAAAUGUAUGUUGACGUAUUCUGAAAGGGAUACUUCUUCGGACAAUAUACAAGGUGCUGCAUGGUUGUCGUCAGCUCGUGCCGUGAGGUGUCGGGUUAAGUCCCAUAACGAGCGCAACCCCUAUCAUUAGUUGCCAUCAGGUCAAGCUGGGGACUCUAAUGAAACUGCCUACGCAAGUAGUGAGGAAGGUGGGGAUGACGUCAAAUCAGCACGGCCCUUACGUCCAGGGCUACACACGUGCUACAAUGGCCGGUACAAAGGGCAGCUACCUGGUGACAGGAUGCUAAUCUCAAAAGCCGGUCUCAGUUCGGAUCGGAGUCUGCAACCCGACUCCGUGAAGCUGGAAUCGCUAGUAAUCGUGGAUCAGCAUGCCACGGUGAAUACGUUCCCGGGCCUU